CAGCCGCCACGGGAAUACGAAGGGGGCUAGCGUUGCUCGGAAUCACUGGGCGUAAAGGGUGCGUAGGCGGGUCUUUAAGUCAGGGGUGAAAUCCUGGAGCUCAACUCCAGAACUGCCUUUGAUACUGAAGAUCUUGAGUUCGGGAGAGGUGAGUGGAACUGCGAGUGUAGAGGUGAAAUUCGUAGAUAUUCGCAAGAACACCAGUGGCGAAGGCGGCUCACUGGCCCGAUACUGACGCUGAGGCACGAAAGCGUGGGGAGCAAACAGGAUUAGAUACCCCCGUAGUCCCUGUCUCUUAUAU
rnacentral:rRNA from 1 species